AUUGAACGCUGGCGGCAGGCCUAACACAUGCAAGUCGAGCGGUAGCACAGAGAGCUUGCUCUCGGGUGACGAGCGGCGGACGGGUGAGUAAUGUCUGGGAAACUGCCUGAUGGAGGGGGAUAACUACUGGAAACGGUAGCUAAUACCGCAUAAUGUCGCAAGACCAAAGUGGGGGACCUUCGGGCCUCAUGCCAUCAGAUGUGCCCAGAUGGGAUUAGCUAGUAGGUGGGGUAAUGGCUCACCUAGGCGACGAUCCCUAGCUGGUCUGAGAGGAUGACCAGCCACACUGGAACUGAGACACGGUCCAGACUCCUACGGGAGGCAGCAGUGGGGAAUAUUGCACAAUGGGCGCAAGCCUGAUGCAGCCAUGCCGCGUGUGUGAGGAAGGCCUUCGGGUUGUAAAGCACUUUCAGCGGGGAGGAAGGCGAUAAGGUUAAUAACCUUGUCGAUUGACGUUACCCGCAGAAGAAGCACCGGCUAACUCCGUGCCAGCAGCCGCGGUAAUACGGAGGGUGCAAGCGUUAAUCGGAAUUACUGGGCGUAAAGCGCACGCAGGCGGUCUGUCAAGUCGGAUGUGAAAUCCCCGGGCUCAACCUGGGAACUGCAUUCGAAACUGGCAGGCUAGAGUCUUGUAGAGGGGGGUAGAAUUCCAGGUGUAGCGGUGAAAUGCGUAGAGAUCUGGAGGAAUACCGGUGGCGAAGGCGGCCCCCUGGACAAAGACUGACGCUCAGGUGCGAAAGCGUGGGGAGCAAACAGGAUUAGAUACCCUGGUAGUCCACGCCGUAAACGAUGUCGAUUUGGAGGUUGUGCCCUUGAGGCGUGGCUUCCGGAGCUAACGCGUUAAAUCGACCGCCUGGGGAGUACGGCCGCAAGGUUAAAACUCAAAUGAAUUGACGGGGGCCCGCACAAGCGGUGGAGCAUGUGGUUUAAUUCGAUGCAACGCGAAGAACCUUACCUGGUCUUGACAUCCACAGAACUUUCCAGAGAUGGAUUGGUGCCUUCGGGAACUGUGAGACAGGUGCUGCAUGGCUGUCGUCAGCUCGUGUUGUGAAAUGUUGGGUUAAGUCCCGCAACGAGCGCAACCCUUAUCCUUUGUUGCCAGCGGUUCGGCCGGGAACUCAAAGGAGACUGCCAGUGAUAAACUGGAGGAAGGUGGGGAUGACGUCAAGUCAUCAUGGCCCUUACGACCAGGGCUACACACGUGCUACAAUGGCAUAUACAAAGAGAAGCGACCUCGCGAGAGCAAGCGGACCUCAUAAAGUAUGUCGUAGUCCGGAUUGGAGUCUGCAACUCGACUCCAUGAAGUCGGAAUCGCUAGUAAUCGUAGAUCAGAAUGCUACGGUGAAUACGUUCCCGGGCCUUGUACACACCGCCCGUCACACCAUGGGAGUGGGUUGCAAAAGAAGUAGGUAGCUUAACCUUCGGGAGGGCGCUUACCACUUUGUGAUUCAUGACUGGGGUGA
rnacentral:rRNA from 1 species